rnacentral:tRNA from 1 species
UCCUGGGUGGCUCAGUGGUAGAGAAUCCGCCUGCCAAUGCAGAAGACACGGGUUCGAUCCCUGGUCUGGGAA